ACGCUGGCGAGAAAAGCUGCUAAGGAGAGUGUGAGUGCCCGUACCGGAAACCGACGCAGGUGGGCGAGGAGAGAAUCCUGAGACGGACGGGAGAACUCUUGUUAAGGAACUCGGCAAAAUGACCCCGUAACUUCGGGAGAAGGGGUGCCUCGAAAGAGGCCGCAGAGAAUAGUCACAAGCGACUGUUUAGCAAAAACACAGGUAUCUGCGAAAGCGAGAGCUGACGUAUAGGUGCUGACGCCUGCCCGGUGCUGGAAGGUUAAGGGGAAGUGUUAGGGGAAACCCGAAGCAGAGAACCGAAGCCCCAGUAAACGGCGGCCGUAACUAUAACGGUCCUAAGGUAGCGAAAUUCCUUGUCGGGUAAGUUCCGACCCGCACGAAUGGCGUAACGACUUGUGAGCUGUCUCAACAGGAGGCCCGGUGAAAUUGAAGUAUGUGUGAAGAUGCACAUUACCCGCGACUGGACGGAAAGACCCCGUAGAGCUUUACUGUAACCUGACAUUGGAUCUUGAUAACGGAUGCACAGGAUAGGUGGGACGCUGGGAGGUAUGGACUUUGGUCUGUACGGAGCGGACGUUGGGAUACCACUCUUCUGUUAUUGAGAUUCUAACCUCAAGCCGUAAGCCGGAUGAGAGACAGUGUCAGGCGGACAGUUUGACUGGGGCGGUCGCCUCCGAAAGAGUAACGGAGGCGCCCAAAGGUACCCUCAGAAUGGAUGGAAACCAUUCGAAGAGAGCAAAGUCAGAAGGGUGCUUGACUGCGAGACCAACAAGUCGAGCAGGUACGAAAGUAGGGCUUAGUGAUCCGGCGGUAAGAGAGUGGAAUUGCCGUCGCUCAACGGAUAAAAGCUACCUCGGGGAUAACAGGCUGAUCUCCCCCAAGAGUUCACAUCGACGGGGAGGUUUGGCACCUCGAUGUCGGCUCGUCGCAUCCUGGGGCUGAAGCAGGUCCCAAGGGUUUGGCUGUUCGCCAAUUAAAGCGGCACGCGAGCUGGGUUCAGAACGUCGUGAGACAGUUC
rnacentral:rRNA from 1 species